rnacentral:rRNA from 2 species
UCAUUUAGAGGAAGUAAAAGUCGUAACAAGGUUUCCGUAGGUGAACCUGCGGAAGGAUCAUUAUUGAAUGUAUUUACAAGUGGUUGUAGCUGGCUCUUCGGAGCAUGUGCACGCCAUUUGUUUCUACUAUCUUUCCACCUGUGAACCUUUGUAGAUCACGAAUGAAACUCGUCUGAAAAUGGCGGUCUUGAGGGACACCUAGUGUCGCUUGUAGUUCGUGGUCUAUGUUAUAUCAAACUCUUAUUGUUGUCUUUGAAUGUCUGUUUAAUGGUCUUUGACCUUUAAAUCUACUAUACAACUUUCAGCAACGGAUCUCUUGGCUCUCGCAUCGAUGAAGAACGCAGCGAAAUGCGAUAAGUAAUGUGAAUUGCAGAAUUCAGUGAAUCAUCGAAUCUUUGAACGCACCUUGCGCUCUUUGGUAUUCCGAAGAGCAUGCCUGUUUGAGUGUCAUUAAAUUCUCAACCUURCCAGUUUGUAAUGAAUUGGUUUAAGGCUUGGAUUUGGGGGCUGCGGGCUUCAACCAGAAGUCGGCUCCUCUUAAAUGCAUUAGUGGAGACUUGUAAUCGUCGCCUUGGUGUGAUAAUUAUCUACGCCUCGGUGUAUGGUGACAUAUAGAUGUCUUUGCUUUCUAACUGUCCACCCAGUUGGACUACCUUCGGGUAUUAAUGACUUUUUGACCUCAAAUCAGGUAGGACUACCCGCUGAACUUAAGCAUAUCA